rnacentral:rRNA from 1 species
GUCAGGGAUAGCCUUGGGAAACUGAGGGUAAUACCUGAUAGGAAGAUACUUCUGGAAAGAUGUUCUUUUUAAACGUCAGGCCUAAAGAUGAGUCGGCGGCGGAUUAGGCUGUUGGUGGGGUAAUGGCCCACCAAACCGAAGAUCCGUAUGGGCCUUGAGAGAGGUAACCCAGAGAAGGACACUGAGAUACUGGUCCUAGCCCUACGGGGUGCAGCAGGCGCGAAACCUUUACAAUGCACGAAAGUGUGAUAAGGGAACCCUCAGUGCUCAUGCUUAGCAUGGGCUUUUGUUAAGUGUAAAUAGCUUGGCGAAUAAGUGGUGGGUAAGACUGGUGCCAGCCGCCGCGGUAACACCAGCGCCACAAGUGGGGGCCAUUAUUAUUGGGUCUAAAGCGUUCGUAGCCGGUUAAGUAAAUCUUUUGUGAAAUUGUCAGACUCAAUUUGACAGAUUGCAGAAGACACUGCAUAACUAGGGACCGGGAGGAGCCAGGAGUAUUUAAGGGGGAGCGGUAAAAUGCUAUAAUCCCUUGAAGACUACCUGUGGCGAAGGCGCCUGGCCAGAACGGAUCCGACGGUGAGGAACGAAAGCUAGGGGAGCAAUCCGGAUUAGAUACCCGAGUAGUCCUAGCCGUAAACGCUGCGUGCUAGGUGUUGCGUAUUCUACUUGAAUGCGCAGUGUCAAAGCGAAGGCAAUAAGCACGCCACCUGGGAAGUACGGUCGCAAGGCUGAAACUUAAAGGAAUUGGCGGGGGAGCACUACAAGGGGUGCGGCGUGCGGUUUAAUCUAAUUCAACACAGAAAAUCUCACCAGAAGCGACGGCAGAAUGAAAGUCAGAUUAAAGGUUUUACUUGACGAGCCGAGAGGUAGUGCAUGGCCGCCGUCAGCUCGUACCGUGAGGUGUCCUGUUAAGUCAGGCAACGAGCGAGACCUGUAUCCAUAAUUGCUAGCAGCUUCUUCGGAAGGACUGAGCACUUUAUGGGGACUGCCUUGGAAACAAGGAGGAAGGUGCAGGCUACGGUAGGUCUGUAUGCUCCGAAUCUUCUGGGCUACACGCGCGCAACAAUGGUAAGGACAAUGGGAUACAACUCCGAAAGGAGAAGUUAACCCUCUAAACCUUAUCUUAGUUCAGAUCGAGGAUUGUAACUCAUCCUCGUGACGAUGGAAUCCCUAGUAAUCGGAUUUCAUCAGAGUCCGGUGAAUAUGUCCCUCUCCUUGCACACACCGCCCGUCAAACCAACCGAGCAGGGUUUGGGUGAGUACUAGCUUUUUGGCUAAGCCGAACCCAAGCUCAGUAAGGUGGGUUAAGUCGUCACAAGGUA